UUAAGGGCUACUCUAUGCGGUUACUUAGGCAUAGUUUUCUCUUUUUUGGUUUGGUCUUGUCUUGUCAUUUUGAGUGUAGGGUGUUUUGCAUUUGGAUCUCUUGUGGGAUUGAGAGCCCUUCUCUUGUUGAAAGUGUGAUUUUAUUUUAAAAAAAUUCUUAUAGGCAAAUAUCUCCAAGUAAGAAAGAGAGUGAAGCUUUAAUAUAUGCAAUUUGAUUGGGAAAUUGUAAAUCCGAAAGAGUGAAAAAAAA
rnacentral:misc_RNA from 1 species